UUCCUGCAUUCUCCCAUAUGCACACCCAAACAGUAUUUGCAAAGCUUCUUGGUUCUCACCACGUUCCAUUUUUCACUGCGUUCCAACGACUGAUAUGUUGGACAGUCACUCACAGCUCUGCAGUUUUUAUUGUUGCAUACAAUGCACUUUUUAUCAUCACUAUGAGAGUAGAUAAAUGCUCUCUUACUUGUAGUUGUUUUGUUGUUAUUGAAGCUGCUGCUUUUAGUAUGACGAUUUUUAUCUCGAUUGUUAGAAAUGGGAUCAGUUGUUAUUGUACUGGCUGUUAAUCCAACACUGAAUAACCAACUGUCAAACGCAGAUAAGUUUGGUUUCUUGUUUUGAAUCAUAAGCUGCUGUUUUAUGGUUGCCCACUGCAUUUGAUACGAAGAUGGGAGUUUUUGCAGUAAUUGUUGAAGUAAAAAAGAAUUAUUUAUCUCAUCUGGCAAGUUGCCGGCUUUAAUAGUGGCGAUUAGACUACGGACGUUUAUCGCAAAAGUUCAAUAUCUUUUCGGGUUGGCCGUAGAGCAUUCGAAGAAUAUCGAUGACGGCAGAGACAUUUGAUGGAUGGAUAAGCAAAUGCUGUACACUAUAAAGUGCUUCACCUUUUAAAGACUUUUGGAGACGAAUUAAGUUCUCGGCCUCCGAAAAGCAGCAAGUUGAGGUGGACCAUUCGAAAGUGGAAAUAAAUAAUGGCCAGUCUUCGGCGUGCCCGGAAAAUAUUGGCAGUUCCUUGGGAACAGAUUGUCUAGCAUUGAUGCUGCUUUGUUGCAGUAGAUUGCUAUUAUGAAAUUGGGAUGUGCUAUUGAAACUGUUCGUUUGGGGGCGCAUUGUAGAUGAAAUGGGUGCUUGAUAAAUAAAAGAUUGUGUAUUUUCGGGAUAA